CAUGGGAUGGAAAUUCCAGGAUGAGACAAGAGACCAGCUUGGGUAAGUGCCUUGAUUUUAUUAUACCUGCUUAAAGUUGGGGAAGGAAGGAUAACUUGGGAAGCUUGUAGGGAAUCUAUGUUGAAUGGCAGUGGACAGCCAAGCAGGGGUUGCCCAUUGCAGAAACUGUCUUCAAAGGCCAGAAAGGGCUUCCAGAAUCCCUUCAUUCCAUAUCACCCACAGUGAUGAGGAAAACAAAGACCUCUUUAACCAAUGCUUUUGCAGACUUUGCUCAUUACUUGCAUAGUAUUGACUACAGUGUAUGCCUAUACACCAGUAGUGACAGUUUAGCUCACUAGUGGCCAAGAGCAGGGCAUACACACUCAGCAAGCGGUAUUGUACAUGUGCCAUUACUAGUGCACAGUGUGCUCACAACGCAGACUCACUCUGAAAAACAUCUGCAUGUGGCCGUUCACAUUUGUGUUCCCACUAGCAGAUUCCUCACCUGUAUCAAAUUUCCUAGCACCAUUUUCAAAGUGGUUCCACAAGGGUGGGGAAGAUAAGUCCUAUCUAUUCCUUGUAUAUAUUCCUGGACGUAAUAACCACAGGUGGCAAGAAUUCAGAUUAAGCUUACAUGGGGACACACAGAAUUCUUCCCUCUCUCUGGCAUCCCUCUCAUGCCUUUUCCUCAACUUUGGUUUCAGUCAUAUACAGCUCACUAAGGCAGAAGAUGAUUGUGUUUCAUUCCUGAUUUUGCCACCCUAACUUUGAAAGCAUAAGCCCCAGCACAUUCCUACAGUCCCUUCAGUAACAUGGAUGGCCCAUUCACAGGGUUGGGAAGGUCACUGAUUGUUUGUUUCUGGUGUGUAGUCUCUGGAUGUAACGCACAUUCAUUUCUAACUUUUUGGAUACGGUAGUAUUAUAAUUCCUUGCUUGGAAUUUGCUUGGGAAGAGAGGGUGCUCAUCUGUCCCUAUACAAAACUUCUCAAUAAAACUGGACAUGGCGUUCACCACUCCUGUAGUGAUCAGUGUAGGCCAGGAAGACUAUAGGUAGAUAUCUCUUGUAUUUGUGCAAAUAAAAGAGCCUGUGGGUAAUGACAUGACUUUAGGGACCUGUUACUGGUACAGGCUAUGCUGGGGCAGAGAACUGAUGCUACAGACUUCCUCUGUGCCAAACUAAUUUUGCAUGGUGAAGAAGCUGGGGCUGCCAGGCACCACCGUGUUAUGGCUAUCCUCUAGGUGUCCUCUAACAGGUUUCUGGAACACUGGGAGCUGCCACUAAUUAAGUAAUUGAUACAUUGGGUGCAGACUGCUUUUACAGAGCGUACCUGAGAAGUCAUGUCAGACACGAAGCAUUGAUUAAGUGAUUACAGUAUAUGCAGAGUGCUAGAGUGGCCUGUGACUGGAGGUGGGAAGGGACAGUUGUGGAGCCAGUUUGGAGAUCAGCCCAUCUGCAUAAACAGGACUUGGAGCUAGGAUUUUCUCCCUGAUAGAUGGACAUUAUAGAUGUACUCGAGUAUCUGGCUCAGACCCUCAAUGACAAUUAUAGUGACUGUAAAUGAAAAGAACAUUAAGCAUGCUAAGUCAGGCACGGAAAAAAUGAGGAAGUGCCAGAAUGGAGCACUGCCUCUGCAAUCUUGAUUCUCUCUGUUUAGUGCAUAAACAUGGUGACAGUCUUGAUGAUGAUAGAACAUCAAGAUCAAACAAUAUCACCUCUGUGUGAUCCCUGUCUCAUCUGGUGCAAAGUCUGCAACAGAGUGAAUGCCAAGGGACCGUAAUUUGUCACUGAGCCCUCUGAGAGGAGUGUUAGUAUAAAACCAAGAUAGCACCAGAUAGCAAACUAGCAUGUUUUUCCUUCACAUACACAGAGCAUGCUCAGUCUGAUAUAAAAUAAGAAACAUGUAGUUGUUUCUGUAUCAGGUUAGAGGCCUAAAAGCAAUAGGGAUUAUAAUUUAAGGUAAUAAAGUGCACAUUUAAACCAUCCAAUUUUGAAUUCAAGUUGUUAAUCUUGAAAACAUAUAGAAAAAUUACCCAGUUAUGGUUACUCGUACAGGUUACAUUUGGGAUAUGCACCUGGAAACAUAUUGGUUUACCAUUGUAAUUGGUGACAGUCAACAGUAAUUCAGAAACAGGAUAAACAGGGUGACCUUUCUCUAAUCUGCAUACUAAAAACAGAAUAGAGAAUUGAAAUGAAAUUAUUUUCUAGUGGCAUUAGACUGACAAGUUUGAUAGAAUUAAAGUGAUACUAUACAGUUAGGUCAAUUGGGUAUCUUCAUUUUUAAUGCACAAACGAGGAUAAAGGAGGCUCUGCCUGUUCUGAGGGAGCCAGCUAAGAAAACUCUCCAAAGCUGAGGUCUCUUCUGUUCCAGAUGCUUACUGUGUCUUGGGAGGUGGGGUGAAGCAAGGUUAUUAUGGAAUAUACUUAUAUGCCACUGAGUUUUCUUUGGUCUCCAUGACCACAGCUUGUGAAAUCUCUUGAUCACAUGUAUGCACCUUUCUUGAGCAGGUUUAUAACACAAUAGUUUGUUUAACAAGAAAAGGUAAAAAUUCUAUAAAAGCCCAAACUUUUGUCCGUUAUUUUUGUCUUUACUCUUAUGAGAUUUUCCAUUCUGCAAGAGGGAAAAGGCUUUUAAUUUUUUAUUACCCAUAGAGAAGCGAUUGCGAUUCUUGGGUUUUAUCCCCUUUCCUAAACAGUAUUAGCAAGACAGCUAACCUUUCAAGCUAUCCUCAGUGUAACUAACUGUAAAAUUGGGAUAUUAAUGCCUAACUGAGAUAGGUAGAGUAAGGCUUAAUUGAUUAACAGAUGUAAAAUGUCAUGAAAUUUGCAGGUGAAUGACACUUUAGACAACAUUUUAGAAAUGUUAGGUAUGGCUUUAUUUAUAUUUUAAAAUAACCAGUAUAAAUAACACUAAGAAUUGAUCAUUAUGAGCAUUUUUUUACAAACACAUUUACUUAUCUUUCUAUUGAAAGACAAAUUAUAAUACUGAACAGUGAACACAAUUUGAAACAGACAGAAAAAGUAGAAGGAAAUUAACAUGCUUGUCUAUUCACUAGAAAAAGAUGAACACUAAUAAAAUUUCCCUCUAGAUAAAACUUUGAAAAUGUUAUUUUCUAUACAUGAUUUUAUGAGCCAGUAUGAUGCCAAUGCAUAUAUUCAUGUAAGCACCCAUUAAGUUUAAAAUAGAAUCUCUAAAAUCUCUCAGUGGACUUGUCGGUGUCUUCUUUUUGCUCAUUUACCUAUUUAGUUUUUGAUGAACGUUUUAGUCUUUGCUUUUCUGCUUAAACAGAACUAUUUAUAAUUAAUACUAUACAACAGAUAUUCUCAAAGUUUUCAGGUAAGAAAAGAUUUCCAAACCUGUGGUUAUCUCCUAAUUGGAACUUUUUUUCUGUCUUUGACAGUAUAGACAGUUUUCCAGCUUCAUUAACAUAUGCAUUUUUUCAUAAUGAAAAAUUAAUGGUGGGGAAGGAUUGAAUUUAAGUUCUUGUUCUCUUUUAAUACAAUUUAACAUGUGGAAUAACACCAUGCUGCUGCAUCUGUGAGGUUGUUUCACCAGAGGGUUUUUUUUUUUUUUUAAUUCACUUCAUGAAGACUUUAAUGUUUUUUUCAACCCAAUUUUAAGUCAGAUUUGUUUUAAGUAUAAGACUGAGGAGAAAGGAAGAAAGGAUCCAGGUUAUCUGGGUUAGGUCCCAGAUACUCAGGAUUUUCCACAAGAGGAUCCACUUGCUGUGUCCAGGCUGCUUUAUCUGCUUCAUAUGUGCGUAUGAAACUGCAUUUUGAGUUUAUGCAGCUUCAGUGGCACGUCUGGGGUGCCAGAGAGCCAGAAGGCUGGGUGAAACCUUUACCAGCAGCAUUUGAACCAGAGGGCAUGUUCUCAAGUGAAGAAAAUAAGGUUUUAAUUCCUGAAAAGAGAAAGCUUAUCUAAAGAUUUGUUUGUUACUGAGAGCUUGGAGAGUAAGACUUAAGGUGGAGCUUAUGGCGUACCACUCUGUCCUCAAUGAAUGAGGUAUUACAUUGGCUCAGCUUCUUUCUUCCUUUUCGCUUUUAUCUUUCCUAGGAAAGGGGGUUAUAUAUGUUAUGGGAUUUGAAGGAUUUCUAUAUUAGUGUAUUUGCAUGCAAAGUCAGGAAGAGAGGAGUAAAACACUAAAGUCACCAGCAAGAAGGCUUGGGAAGAGGCAAUUAAACUAAGCCAUCUUGAUUUGCCUUGCAUUUUCUCUCAUUUCCAAGGAGUGUAAAACCUGUUUCUUGUUAUGUUUAUAUGUCUCUAUAUUAAUUGACAAUACAUUGCUUUCAGAGACUGUACAUCUGUAACUUUCAGCUGUCAGCUCUUCCAUCUUGCAUCAUGUGUUUGUGUGUUCUCUUCCUAGCAAUGUCUCCAGAUGAUGCAGAAUUAAUGCUAGUUGAACUAUAUUUAUCCCUCCUCGCCCAGAAGGAUGGGUGGAUGAAAGUAGUGAGUAAUGGGAAAAGUUGCUGUUUAACAAACUGCAGAGGAUGAUGGGUUUUGGUUGAGCUCUGUUCUUUCAUAGCUAUCCAGAUUGUUAGCAACUUCCAUACGUUUCUGUGGGAAUCUUUGGUACUCAAAAGGUACAAAGAAAAAUAGCCACUGCUUUUUGAACUGAGCAAUAGGGAGCUAAAACUUUUGUUCCUUCAGAUACAGAAAUUAUUCCAUAUUGGCCUGUAAUAUGUUGACUUCCGAUUGGGCUGUAUACCUGCUUCCUGAUCUCUUUUCUGCAGCAGUGUUGUAUGUUAUCUGUGUGGAAAGCUGUGGUUUUGCUGUUUGCCUCUAUAACCAGCUCAAAGAUGUAAGAUUAAAAAAAUGGGGCCACGUACACAGAUGCAAAGCAGGAAAGGAACCUGUUUGCUAAUGUCAGGUAUUUCCACACCUUGGCUCAAGCUCUUUCCUGACCACACAACCUUCCAUCAGGGUGAAGGCAGGCAGAGAGCUCCUUCCAACAGGUAUUUUCAAUAGUAUAUACCCAUUUAUAGAUAGGUCUCUCUUAUGAUACAGUGUUGUUGGCAAAGUACAUUGCAGAUUGUGUCUCUGUGGAUUCAUCAGGUGAAAACAGUUCCUUCUGAAGCAAUCAAGCGACCAGUCAAAAAACCCCAGCCUGGGUGGUCUGGUAUUUCAGUUCUACAGUGAACCACCAGGACAGCUAAAACAAGAGACAUCAUCCCAGCUACAAGCUCCUCUGGCCUCUGCAGCCACUUCCUUUGUCAUUUGAUCUUUGUCUUCAAGCAUUUCUGGAAAUAAUCUGUUUUGUCUUUGUGUGAGAGGCAGUCUCUGCCCCAGAUACUGUGAUGGAGACCUGGAACAAGAAAGCACCUCACUGAACUUUUAAAAGCUCAAACCUGUUAUUUAGAAGAGAACUGCAAUGUUGGAUGGCCUCAAAUGAAAUUUUAUCGUAGCUUUAAUCCUUUUUUUUUUUUUUUUUGCCCAGCUCUGAUUGUUGCAUUCUUAUGACCAAACAAGCAUUGAUGCACAAAGAUAUACAGUUGUUUCACUAUUGCAAUUUACUUUCCCACGACAGUGCAGCCAGCCACUGAAAUUCACAUAUACAUAAUGGAUUGUAGGGAAGCACGGCACUUAGGUUUGUUGGGAGUCAGUCAUCUUGUGCUUCAAAAAAGAAAAACAAAACAAAAACAAACAAACAAACAAAAAAAAAACAAUAAAAAACAACCUCUAUGUAUGUGUGCAACAUAUAAUUACAAGAGAAGCAGUGGCAACAGCUUCCGAACAAGCAUUACUGAAUACUUUCCAAUAAAAAAAAUCUUAUGAUCUUUCAUUAAGUGUUCUGUGCCUGCAUGGCUAGCAAUAGGUCUUUGAAACUUGGCAGGAGGGUAAUCCCGUCAUUCUUUUUGUUGGCUUUAUGGAAAAACAAACAAACUAGAAAACAUUUAGAUUAAAUGAAUUAUAACCUAUUGAAAAACCCCAUUUCUUGUCUUUGGUUCACACUAUAUUUUAAGUUUUGGCAACAUUUCAAAAUCCUUCAAUAAUCUACAGAGCUUGUGGAUGUCCUGUGUCAGCAGUUUUCUUCUGCAUGCUAUGUACUCUAGGUGGGACAUAGAGAAUAACUGCUUUUCAACCUUGAAAGUUUUUUUUGCCUGCAAGUACCAUCCACUGGUAGCAAAGAAAUGAUGGUUCUACACUUUCCUCUUUUCCUGACCAGAAGUAAUAUUUUUUAUUAUAUAAUGCCAUUGUUCAUUUACCUCAAACAGGCCAAACCAAGACAGAGUAUUGUCUACAGCUAGGGUAUCAACCUAGGUCUUGGGAGGAGAUGUAGGUUCAGUUCUAGCUGAUCACAGGUAACAUAAGUGUUUACACAAGUAAAUCAGCUUUUCUUUGCCUUAGUUCCCUUGCUGUAGCCUAGGAAGAAGAGGAUUUCUCUAUUUCUUGGUGUAGGUUGAGAAUAAAUGCAUUCAAAAAUGCUCGGUGUUCUGGUAAUAUAUAGCGUUAAAGAAUUUAGUGAUAUUUUGCCUGGUUUUACUUAAUUUACUUAGCUCUGUUCAUUCUAUAGUCUAAAGGAAACAGAGUCUUGCAUAUUAAAAAAAGAAAAAGACCCUGUAUCAUAACAAACACUUUGAGAAGGUAAAUUGUGCAAUUAAUUGUUACUAUGUCUUAGGUGUUGAACACAUCUCUUAUUAAAUGUAAUUCUAGCCUAAUAGCUAUAGUGUGCUAUAUAAUACAAGGGAUUUUAAUUGUAUUUGGGCCAUGCUGUGGUGGACAAAACUGUCAUUAACUUUGGUGGAAGCCAGAUUACUGGAUAAAAAUGUCAGGAAAGGCUUUUAUUUUAUUUUAUUUUUUUCCUACUGUCUUCAAACUUUUUAGGUUGUUCUGUUUUUUUUGAAAACUCUUAGCCUAUAGUAUGUUGAAUUUAUAAAGACUAUAUGCAAAGUUAUCUAGAAGAAUAC